UUAACUGAAGCCAAAUAGAGGCUUCUUAAUGUUAAUAAGAUUAUUGAUUAUAUAAAUCCAGUUAAA
rnacentral:tRNA from 1 species